AGGUAGGGACAGAAAAAGGGCAGGGUGUUUGUUGCGUUAGACAGAGCAGUAUGGUUAUUUUUUUGUUUAUUGCUUUUUAGUUGUUGUUGAAUAAGCAUAUAAGGGAGUUAUAGUCCAAUAUAGUAGGUGGCAGCAAUGGAACAUUUAUUGGAUGCCAACCGCCGUUCAAACUCAUCGAAGAAGUUAACAUCUAGAUGUUGUUCGAAUUCAUACAAGUACUACUGUCAAUAAUGCCAUAUGUUGCAGACUUUAAAAUUGCUCACUACAGUAUAAGAUAGUUAGCCAGUCUCUCAAGUAGUUAACUAACAAGCAAGGAAAUCAGUCUAGCUAUCUAACGUUAGCUAGCUACAGUAGCUUGAUAACAUGGUUUGCGAACUGUUGCAUGUUUUUCUUGAUUAUUGGGCUUCAUACAACGUUGUUGAAAAGUAACUUUAUAAUAUUUAGAAGCUAAUUUAGCUAGUUACCUUUUCAAUUUAAACAAUGUCAAGCGUACAUGAAAGUUUGUAUUUCAACCCAAUGAUGACCAAUGGGGUGGUCCAUGCCAAUGUGUUUGGCAUCAAAUAUUGGGUAACUCCGUACAUCUCCGUUCUGGCCUACUGUUAACUCACACACACUUUCACACUCACCACAUACGCUGCUACUACUUCCUAUUGUCUAUCCUGUUGCCUAGUCAUUUUAUCCCUAGCUAUUUCUACAUAGCUACCGCAAUUAUGUUGUACCCCUGCCAUGUUAUUUUUACUCAUUAUUGUUAUUUGUUGUUCACUGUGUAAUAAUUCCUCUUAACACAAUUUUUCUGUAAAUAUAUAAAUAUAUAUAUUUUAACACUCUGUAUUGUUGGAAAAGGACCCGAAAAUAAGUCUUUCACUGUUAAGUCUACACCUGUUUAUGAAGCAUGUGACAAAUAAAAUAGUUUUCAGAGGGGCUUUCCUUUUCAUUUGAUUUUCUCUCCUCAGUAUUUGGCAUAUCUGGUCAUUCAUUCCCUGGUCCAGCAGGGGGCGAUCCAGGGCAAGACAGCCCAUGAGCUCAUGGAUGCUCUGAAGGACACAGACAUUCUGCAAAGUGCUGGAAGCACAGCCUGUCAGAGCUCAUAGACAUCAGUCUGGCUCAGACUUCAUCCAUAUGGAUGAUGUAUGGCAAGAGGGCCUGUAUGGGGCUGUGUCUGAGGUCCUGAAGCAUCUGAAGGAGCAGUUUCCCCCUCACACCCAACAUGCCAAGGAAAGCUCAAGUGCCGAAGGCGCUGAACCGGACCACUAAAGCGUACGGUAUCCUGCAGAGGCUGCAGCUGUACUGUGAGAAGACCAAGUACUCAGAGAUGAGCAUCAGGGUGAUGCUGGCCAUUGCAGAGUUGCAUUGAGAGUUGUCAGGUGUUGCCACAUCCCUUGCUCUCUUGCUGCAGGCCCUGGCCAGACAGCACCAUCUACAUGCCCUGGUCUCUGACUAUCCUGCACCUGGCCUUCACUCAGGUCAACACACGCAAUAUUUGAUACUGGGAGUGCUGGAACAGACUCUGUGUGUCCUUUAUUAUCCCAUCCUGGCCCAUGAGCCGUCAUGGAUAAGGGAAGAGCUCUGCUGCUGCCAGCCCGCUGUCAGGUGGCCACUGCUGGGUCCCAGCCCAGUGUUCAGAGGCAUGCAGGUCUGGGCCUGGCUAUGCAGACUCUGGUUGAGGCUGUAGCCUACUUCUCCAUGCUGGACUGUAAGGGGCGUCUGUGGGACAUCCACUACCUGCAGGCCCGAAUGCACCACACCCUAGGCCAAACCCCCCCCAAUGCAACAAAUGUGCCAAGCUGUUCCACCUGCUGGAGCUGCAGCCGUCGCCAUGCGACUCUGAACAGUCAUCACCACCCUAACACAGACCGGUACAUAUACUGGUGUACUCUCUUUGUCAUGAACUUCACAUUUCAUGCUAUCUUUUGUUUCAAAUUGCUGCAUUAGUAGAGAAACAACUGGUUUAGGCACUCCCAAUUUUACAUUGCAAACGUGUAUCAUUUUUAUACAAUAUAAAGAUCAAACUUCAAGUCUCUAUAAUCU